CUGCGAUUGAGGCAAGAGGGUUUCAUCUUGCGCAAGCCUCCAUUUCCAUGGAUGUGUGACUAGGUUUUAGGGGUUUCGUUGUGCUUUAAGUGUUUUAGUGAUUUGAGAACAGAAAGGGAAACAAGCCAUCAUCCAAGGAGGUAAGCCUGCGAUUGAGGCAAGAGGGUUUCAUCUUGCGCAAGCCUCCAUCUCCAUGGAUGCAUGACUCGGUUUUAGGGGUUUCAUUGUGCUUUAAGGUUUUUAGUGAUUUGAGAACAAAGAGGGAAACAAGCCAUCAUCCAAGGAGGUAAGACUGUGAUUGAGGCAAGAGGGUUUCAUCUUGCGGAAGCCUCCAUUUCCAUGGAUGCAUGACGGGGUUUUAGGGGUUUCGUUGUGCUUUAAGCGUUUUAGUGAUUUGAGAACAAAGAGGGAAACGAGCCAUCAUCCAAGGAGGUAAGCCUGCGAUUGAGGCAAGAGGGAUUCAUCUUGUGCAAGCCUCCAUUUCCAUGGAUGCAUGACUGGGUUUUAGGGGUUUCGUUGUGCUUUAAGGGUUUUAGUGAUUUGAGAACAAAGAGGGAAAGGAGGGGGGAAGCAAGGGACCUAGACAUUAGAUUGGCCGAUGGACUGCCCUCGGCUGAGCAGGUUGUGGACUUCUCCCUGCUAAACGAGGGUACUUUCAUCGCUGAUGCGGGAGCAAUCCUGCAAAUUAGUCUCUGUUAAACAGGUUGAAUAGUUCAGACAUCCAUAUUGCUGGUGCUGCAAGUGAGAUUGAUGCUUCAGGCUGCCUAGUGUCCAUCUACGGUCUGGUGAAACAGAUUUCCCUUGCAGAGAAAUUCACAAUUAUGAGACUGGUGCAUGUGACUUAAAAGUUCCAAUAGUUGUGAAAUGCAAGCGAGAAAUGGAUUCAAACACCUACGGUCAGGGUCUUGAACAUUAUGAGAAAUUUUUAGUUAAUCAGCUGUGGCAUAAUUACAUACCAUACAGUACUACUCUAAGUCCAAGUGAUGGUAAUUUCCAACUGCACCAAAGUGGAAUCCCUUCAUCGGAUACACAUGCAUACACAGCAGCGGAACAAUACCUAUGAUCAGCCCUUCGUCUGCGCAGCAAAUCACCAGUGGCUCCCCAAGAUGAGCAUCAAGAGACAACACCUAUAAGAGAUAGAGAAGAAGAGGAGGAAGCAGAAGAAAUAACAGAUUUAGGGUUUGCUUCUAGGAGGCGCAGGCUUGGCUAAUCUUACAAUUAACGGUUGAGCACAUUGACUUCUGGACUGAACUCUGCCUGUUUGUUCAUUUUCAAGGGUACCCGGAUAACCAUUAUGAUCGUUGGUGGCAUUCAAGUGGUACCAAAUGGCCCUCACUCCCAUUUACCAACAGGGAAAUUUGGCACAUUAUGGACACUACAACCAUAGCUCUCUAAGUCCAAACAUCCUUAUUUUCAAUUCAUUUUGUUCAAUGAGAUUGACCGAUUUUAAGGUAGAAAAGAUGGCUGUGAAAGAUACCCGGAUAACUAUUAUGAUCGUUGGUGGCAUUCAAGUGGUACCAAAUGGCCCUCACUCCCAUUUACCAACAGGGAAAUUUGACACACUAUGGACACUGCAACCAUAGCUCUCUAAGUCCAAACGUACCCGGAUAACCAGUAUAAUCGUUGGUGGCAUUCAAGUGGUAAGAUCGAGGGCGUGGUUACUGUGGCGAGAGAUAGCAUGAGCUUCAUCCAAAACUUCACGGAUAUUCUUGUGAAGGCAUUGGCCCAUGCCAUAACACCAGCGUCGAGUAGGGCAACGACUCUGACAGGCUUCAGGAAUAUUUUGGGAGCAUGCAACCUAUUACUACAUUUUCUAUUUCAUGGAAGUGUUGGAGGCAGCUUAUCAAAACAAGAGCAGGUCAUUCGAUUUCCUGGUUGAUGAAAUCAAGCGGAACGAUGAUCCAAUCAUCCCUCCCUAUCGGUCAAAUGUGACCGACUGUAAUCUUCAUGGCUUACCUCCACUUCUUAAUUAGCUUUACAUGUUUAAUCAAAACCAUCUUCUUUGUGAUCUCUAAAAGCUGCUAGGUCCGCAUGGAUUUCAAAGUCUACACUCAAUAGAGUUCCAAUCGCAGGGUCCAGGUUUUGAAUGUGGAAUGUAAGCUGGAAUCUGUUUUGGGGAACGAUUAUAAAGUCAUUAACCGAACAACUUCUCGUACCUUUUGAUCUCCUCUGUUUGUUGAGGACUUUGGUUGUUGUACGCAAGUUCUUUUUGUUUUUUCCUUUCGCUAAUCCUGGAUAUGCUGUUGGUGCCCUAAUUAAUUAAGGGCUAGACAUGUAUCUUGUAAUAGGACAAUAUUAGUGGAUAUUAAUUACGGGCAAGUUCUUCGUA